GACAGAGGGUGCGAACGUUGUUCGGAAUUACUGGGCGUAAAGCGCGUGUAGGCGGCUAUGCAAGUCGGGUGUGAAAGCCCUUGGCUCAACUGAGGAAGUGCACUCGAAACUGCAUAGCUCGAGUCCCGGAGAGGAUGGUGGAAUUCUCGGUGUAGAGGUGAAAUUCGUAGAUAUCGAGAGGAACACCGGUGGCGAAGGCGGCCAUCUGGACGGUGACUGACGCUGAGACGCGAAAGCAUGGGGAG
rnacentral:rRNA from 1 species